UCCAAAUUUGAAAAUCCAAUAAGUUCUCUAAUAAAAACUCUCUCUCUCCUGCUUCACGCCCAUUCUCUCUCUUAAAUCGGCCUAUUGCCAGUUCGCCAUUUGCCACCUGCCGGCCUUACGUCGGUAGUUUCAUGGUCUCCACCCAGCCUCUCGGCGACGUUCUCAUCUCGCCCAAGCUCCUGGUGGUUAGCCCAACCUCUGGCGAGUCCCCAAUCUAGCCAUUUGGCGUUCUCUUUCCUGCGAGUCAAGCAAACCAGCGAUCGACCCGAUAAGGUAGUUCGCUAGUUCCUCUAACCUUGAUUGACGAUCUGCCGACCUCUCGAGCCCUUCUGAUCAUCCCAACGACGUCCAUUAGUGAAUCCCCGACCUUGUGGUUGUCGGGACUUAGCCGAAUAUCCACCGGACGAGCUCCAAUGGUUGAUUCUUUACCAACGAUCCUCAACCUAGCGGAUCGCCCAUCAGUUGCUGAUUGGCAGUGAUCCGACGUCGUUCGACCCUCCUCUGGCGGUCCUCAGGUCCUACGAAGCUCCCUUUACAUCCUCAAGUUACUAUGAAGGCUUGAUUGUUGUCCGAUUGAGCUCAAAUCGCUGAAAUCGUAUCAAAGAUAGGCGUCCUAAAGGGAUCGUUGCAUGAAUACAAAGGCCAACCCUGAGGCCAUUCUUGAUUGUUGGAGUAUUUCUCUUUGGAUGUUUAAUGUGAAAUGACAUGUUGGUUGAUUGAAUUACUUGUUUGAUUACAAUAAGUGACUUUAAAAUCAUUUUUAAUUCACAUCCUAGUUUAGUCAUAUGAAAGAAUUGGAAUAGACCCAUGGAGGUGGCUGUCUUGAAGACCUAAAGACGAUGAAUGGUUGAUAUCUGAUCCAACCCUAUUUUUGUACUAUUCAUUUCCUUGAUUUAUGUUUCAAGUUGUUUUGGCAUUGUAUAAACACCCAAUGAGUUGUGGGCUCUUCUUUGCUUUGUUUUCUUUACUUCUAUCUUAGGAUUGUGUGCCAAAUUUGUGA